CACUUGCAUCUCUCCACAGGAAAAAUUCAUAAUGCAUACUUCUGGGGAUUUUCCAUAUUGAUGGAAGAAAAUGUUUGGGAUACCUAAGUGAAUCCAUUGAAGAUUGUGUCUGUUUAUUAGUCUUGGUGCAGAGGGGGAAUUGCUGUACUUUGGAGCUGGGAAAGGAUCUUUCAGAUGAUGAUGAAGGUAUGGAGAGCCAUGAUGGUUUGUGAGUGGUCUGAUCAGGUGGUGAUUCGGAAGGAUAAUUGGAGGUGGUGAUAAGGUAGAUGAGCAGGGCUUUUUCAGUGUGUAGGCAAGAGAUGAUGAAGCCCUAA